GAUGAACGCUGGCGGCGUGCCUAACACAUGCAAGUCGAGCGAACAGACCAUGAGCUUGUUCGUUUGUCGUUUGCGGCGGGCGGGAGUGUCACAUGUGUAUCACCUACUUAUCUUUCUGGUAUAAUUACGGGAAACCGGCUCUUAUACCGGAGAAUAUAUUGCACCGCGGUGUGCAAUGGUGAAUUUCGGCUUUGCGGUCUGGUAUAGCUGCAUCCGGGCCUGAUUGGCUGGUUGGUAAGGUAACGGCUUACCAAGGCGAGGAUGCGUAGCCGAACUGAGGGGGUGGUCGGCCACCCGAGAACUGAGACAGGGUCCAGGCUCCUACGGGAGGCAGCAGUAGGGAAUGUUACGCAAUGGGGGAAAGCCUUACGGAGCAACCGCGCGUGAGUGAUGAAGGUGUUCGGAUCGUGAAGACGUGUUGUUGGGGAAAAACCGAUGUGUAAGUAAAUAUGGCGGUAUUGACGGUAACUAGUCAAAAAGCACCGGCUAACUACGUG
rnacentral:rRNA from 1 species